UACGUAGGAUGCAAGCGUUGUCCGGAAUUAUUGGGCGUAAAGAGCGCGCAGGCGGUCUAUCAAGUCAGAUGUGAAAUAUCCCGGCUUAACCGGGAGGGGUCAUUUGAAACUGGUAGACUAGAGUACAGCAGAGGAUAGCGGAAUUCCCGGUGUAGUGGUGAAAUGCGUAGAUAUCGGGAGGAACACCAGUGGCGAAGGCGGCUUCCUGGCCUGUUCUUGACGCGUGAGGCGGCGAAAGCUCAGGGGAGCAAACGGGG
rnacentral:rRNA from 1 species